UAAACAUCAGAUAUGACUGAAUAUUCAAUCAUUUCUCUAGAAGGCUUUAGCCGCUCACUAGCUGACUCACUCUUUGGUUGCCUAGCAACAGCCGGGUCACAAACUGUUUCAAGUUCCCUCCAAUUUUCGGUUGCCUAGCAACGGCCUGCUGAGUAACUGGCACAGCAGCAGUUUAAAGUUUUACCAAAACAGCUUAAAAAUAAAAAACAACGGCUUGGAGAGAAAACUGAAUAAAACGGGAAAAGCUACGCCACCAGUUUGAGCCAAACAAAAGUCCUGACCUUUGACCUGCCGCAGAGCAAACAGCCUAAAUAUCAACAUGUCGACAGGAACCACGGUUACUUUUCAGCCAUCUUUCUCCAUCUGUCUAUGGAUCCCUUCUCUGGUUGGCGGCGACAGGGUCAUCAGCAGGAUCUGAUCAGCUGAGAAGAACCGACUCAGAAUUAAAAACAUGAUGGAUGGAUGGAGCCUGGGCCGUUUGUCCUCCAUGUUUGACGGCUGGUCACAUGACCCAGAUAACCAGGGGGCGGGGCUAAUUCCGCUUUAAUCCUGCCGCGGCGUUCCCGCACUCACGUCUCAUUUAUCUGGGAUUAAUUGGCAGGAAGGUCCGGGCCUCCGUCGGCUUCCUGUCUCCUUAACGAGGCUUGUUAGGAGGAAAUGUGCUGAUUGGUGGAAACUUCCAGCUGCCGCCUGAUUGGUCCGUCUCCGUCUCUGCUCCUGGAUUCCUGCAAACUUUAGACUUUCAGCAGAACAUGAGAACAAUUCGAAUUCCCUCGGGAACCAAUUAUAUUCAAUCACACACACACACACACACACACACACGCCCUCACGCUGCAGUGACUCAUUCACACUGCAGUGUUUACAGGAAAUGUGACAGUUUGCUUCAGAUGCUGCCAAACACACAGGAAUUUCAUCUGGACAGCCUGUAAACCUUAAAGGUGUCGAGAUCCAAGAGGUUCAUCUGAGUGGUUUAAAACAGCAGAAAAAAAUUACAUUUGUUUUAAUAAAUUUAAAAAAACAUAUGUAUAUAUUUCAAGCUGUUUAAAAUCCAAAAAUUCAGUUUUUACCAUCAAAGUUGACCAAUAAAAAUGUCUUUUGAAAGUUCAGUGGAAGGAAAAAGUUUUGCUGUACAAUAUGAAUACUGAAUUACUUAUUAUUUUAUUAUUAUG